rnacentral:lncRNA from 1 species
GCUUGUCUCACUAGAACAUUCUCCGAGUUCUUUAUAUACUCAGAAUUAUACCUUGAGGGAGGUCAGCGUAACAUGGGCCUCAGAGAGACCCUCCUCUCCCCAUCUGGAUCCUCUCCAGGAGGAUCUUCACACCUCAUGCUUGUCCUCUUUGAGUCCUUGUCAUGAGGACUGUCUCUAGUUCUGGUGACCUACUCACACUUUGCAAACCACCCUAAGAGCUAAUCUUCACAGAUGCCUAAGUAUAUCUCUGUAUAACUUGGCUGCAUCUUUCCUAGCAGGGAGCAGAAACUUGAGAGUGUGUAAGUUGUAAUGUGUCCUACCCCGGAUCCCAUGAUGCAAGGGAAAGGCGAAGCUGAGGAGGUACAGCAAGGUGUCUUCAGUGGACACAGACUGAAGCUGGCUCUAACCACGUGCAUCUGGCGAUGGAAUUGGCAGCUCAAGGGCAGGCUGCCAUAUGCCUUCCAAGGUCCCUCUGGUGUAACAGAACAAGGAUGACUGCAUUGCUCCAGCCCCUGGGAUAAUAACGCACCUGCUCGUUUGCAGUAGAUUGGGCAUGAGAAAGGAGGUGAAUGCCACAGUCAGUUCAGUCCCAGGCUAAUCAUUACAAUUAUCGGAGGCAUACCGCAUUGUGUGGGGACAAAAGUCCCUUCCUCUGGUGUCCCCGAGCUGGCUUUGUGGUGUGGGUGACACUUAAGGCUGGCCGUGAAGGAGAAAGGAAACACCUGUGUGAUGGUUAGUUCGCUAACUUGAUGCUGCUGUAACAGGCACGGGGUGGGGGUGAGGCAUUUCCUUGAUUAAUGACUGAUGUGGGAGGGCCCAGCCCAUUGUGGGCACUGCUACCCCUGGGCAGGAUCAGCACCCCUUUAUGAUCUCUGCUUCAGUUCCUGCCUCCAGGUUCCUGCUUUGACUACCUUCCAUGAUAACGUGCUAGUGAGACGUCUGUGUGAAAACCCUUUCCUACCUGAGCUGCUUUCAGCCAUGGUCUUUACCAUAGCAAUAGGAAGUAAAAUCAAAUGGCUGGACUACGGAGAGAUGUUUGGCAAUUGUCUGAGAAGCCGUGGGCACGAUCCUAUUUGCUCUUUCUUCUUCCUCUCUGCUUCUGGAUGAGCCAUUUUGCAAAACUUGAUGUGAGGUCAUGGGUUAAAAGGACAUACCUCUCAGCAGGUGGUCAGGGCAGUGGUGGUUCCAGAAGCAUCUACAGUAUGCCAGAGGCCCCGUAUGGAAGGGAAGCCCAGCUUUGUCUUGGUUUGUUGUCAUAGGCACCUGCCACGGGUACAGGAUUGGUCCAUGUUCCCUCAUAGAACCUUGCUCUGUUCCUCUGUGGAUGUCACAUCGUGGGUCAGUCCAGUGGCCGUCCUGCUGACAGAGAAGCGAUGGUUGCUUCAGAAGUGUGAUUUUGCAGAACUUUAACUACACAGGCUGACAAAACCCUAACCAAGAGUGCACAGUCUUCCUUUAUCAUCAGCUACCUUAGAACUGCCGGCCUUCAGAGUGCUGUGGACAGGGUCUGGUUCCCAGGCUGUUCCCAGCACAGAGGACGCCCUCCCCCCACUGCACCAAAGCCUGUGUUAGCAGCUGGAGGCAGUUCCACCUGUGGGCCUUUUAGCCUUUCUUCGCAUUUUUCUGCCUUUAACAACACAGCGAGUGAGGGUCUACUGUUUCUACUUAAUUUCUGAAUAUUUGUCUACUAUCACACAGCAUUUGUGAUAAGAUCCAUUUCCCGUUCAACAGCUUCAAACUUAGCACCUGAGGCAACUUUCUGUCUUAGUGGGACACAGAUGAGAGUGAGCCCUGGAAUUGAUGGGGUCUUAGGCUCGCUCUAAAAUACCCUUGUGGGCAUGCUGUCUCAAGCUCCUGAAGGUGGGGUCCCUCCUCUCCUCUCUCUCUCUCAUGCCCACUCCCCCCUCAAUUAUCUGGGAGAAAAGGAUAACGGUAAGUGGACAGGAGAUUUUACAAAUCCGGAUUUAUUCUUAGAAAAUACGCAGGCUUAUAUUUUUAUUUUAUCAUGCCUUUGGGGUGUCUUCUGUGGAUUCCCUCUCCCCCCUCUCCUCCCUCUCCCUUUUCUUUUCACCUUUCUCCCUUCCUAUUUUCUUCCUCCUAUACCCUUCUACACCCCUAUGUUCUCUCCUCCCUGCCCCACCCCACCCUUCCUCCUUUAUAGCCCAGUCUCACCCCUUCAGAACAUGUCGGUAAAACACAAAUCUCAGAACAGUCUGCUGGGGGCAACUCACUCAGCCUUAUGUGUUGGCCUCUUGGUGAAGCUAGCGUGGACCACGUGUCAUGUCUGCAGUGCCUGGGUCUCUGGAAUCACAAUGUUCAGGCCAUAGGCAGCUGUGUUACCUAGGAUGCAGUGCAGGGCAUCUGUCUCUUUUGACCAUGCUCACCAAGGCUAGAGGACCACGGGCAUCAGUGGAGCUGUGGAGUGUGGAGGGAUCAGGGAGUGUGGUCCCCACACUGGGCCAUGCUGCCCUAUUCUGCAGUAGUCCCUGAGGUGCUUGGUUGGUUGUGUGCCUUUUCUUGGAGGGACAUCUGGUCUGACAGAUGGGUCCCUGUUUGUUUUCCAGUGCAGUGACAGGUCAUUUCUGCAUACACAACUGUAGGGACUAAAGGACUCUAGAGAGAUGCAAACCUGCUUCAGGACUGCCACCAGAAGGAAAUUGGAGCCCAUUUUUACACACUCAGCUGGAGAUGGUAAAGUCUGCCCCUGGUCUCUGAAAUUCCUUCUGGGACCUUUGGGACAGAAGGGACGUGGC